CGCCUUCAAAGCCGACUCAG
rnacentral:snRNA from 1 species